GAUGAACGCUGGCGGCGUGCCUAAUACAUGCAAGUCGAGCGAACGGACGAGAAGCUUGCUUCUCUGAUGUUAGCGGCGGACGGGUGAGUAACACGUGGAUAACCUACCUAUAAGACUGGGAUAACUUCGGGAAACCGUAGCUAAUACCGGAUAAUAUUUUGAACCGCAUGGUUCAAAAGUGAAAGACGGUCUUGCUGUCACUUAUAGAUGGAUCCGCGCUGCAUUAGCUAGUUGGUAAGGUAACGGCUUACCAAGGCAACGAUGCAUAGCCGACCUGAGAGGGUGCUCGGCCACACUGGAACUGAGACACGGUCCAGACUCCUACGGGAGGCAGCAGUAGGGAAUCUUCCGCAAUGGGCGAAAGCCUGACGGAGCAACGCCGCGUGAGUGAUGAAGGUCUUCGGAUCGUAAAGCUCUGUUAUUAGGGAAGAACAUAUGUGUAAGUAACUGUGCACAUCUUGACGGUACCUAAUCAGAAAGCCACGGCUAACUACGUG
rnacentral:rRNA from 1 species